rnacentral:tRNA from 1 species
GCCCGGAUGGUGGAAUUGGUAGACACGCUAGUUUCAGGUACUAGUGGGAGUUAUCCCUUGUGCGUUCGAGUCGCAUUUCGGGCA